rnacentral:lncRNA from 1 species
AUGCCUUUGGAAAACUAUACUUCUUUAUUUUUUUAUAUUACUGAUUUAAUUUAUUUCCUAAGUAAUGAUUACUUCUUUUACUCGCCACAUUUUGUACUUGAAUCGCGUUGGUCUUGUGAUAUGAAAGUGAAAGUAAUCAGUAGGUGUUUUAGUUUUUGUUGUAUACAUUGGAUGUGUUUUCUUGAACACCAUGUUCAUAAAAAUUGUCCAUUUGUUGUUUAUAUAAUUGUAUGUCUUAUUAAAUCCAUUAUCAUAAUAUAUCCUUUUGCAUUCUAAUUUUUUUAAUCUACACUUGAAAAUUAAAAUAGUGGUUGCUUGCUGGCACAAAAAGCACUUUGCUUGGUGGUCCUAUGCUUAUUUUUUUCACUGCCGAUAAUCUAAACAUAUUAACCAUUAAUGUCAUAUAAGUUGUUUCCUUUAUGUGUAAGAGAUAGCUUUCAUUCUCCUAUGUAGUCAGUUCCUCAACUCCGAUAUAUCUAUUGAUAUUUUAAUGUCCAACUAUCAGGAGGGUGAAGCAGCUGCUGCUGAAGAAACCAAGAAAAGUAACCAUGUCCAGAGAAAAAUUGAGAAGCGCCAGACAGAUCGUAACCUUGAUUCCCACAUUGAAGAGCAGUUUGGUGGUGGUCGAUUGCUUGCCGCUAUUUCCUCUCGCCCUGGUCAAUGUGGCAGGGCUGAUGGGUAUGCUGAAACUUUAUAUAUGUGAGAUUACCUGUUUGAGCCAGCAUCAUUUCUGUUUACCGAUCUAUUUUUUCAUGAAUUUUGUAGGUACAUUUUGGAAGGUAAGGAACUGGAGUUUUACCUGAAGAAACUCCAGAAGAAGAAGGGAAAGGGUGCUGCCUAAUUUUAUUGUUUCCCAUAUUUUUACAUGGCUUUAGUUGUUUUUGUUUGAGUUUGUUAAACAUUGAAAGCAAUUUUAGCUUUGAAUGACAUUGUUGGUCUACUACUGUAGGAUAAUGCCCUUCUUGAACGUGUUAUCAGUUUUAUGCAAUUGUCAUUAAAUUUUGUUUUUCAUCAUGUUACUCAUAUAUACAUUUCUCAUCAUUUUAAUGCUUUGUUGCUUUGAAAUUAUAGAUUAUGUAAAAGAUAAACCUGUCUAGUUUAAGUAAAAUUUCAAAAUCUUACAUAAAAGGUAUGCUUUCAAAAUCAUAGUGAUAAAUCUUACAUAAGCUUUGUACUUAUUUAAGUUUCGUUAAGAUUGAUUCUAGUUGAAAAUUAUUGCAGACACUGUAUAUAUGUUUGUUCUAUUUAUUGUCUGUGUAUAUGUAGGCAAUGAGGCAUUCGAUCUUAAUCUUUGUAAGGGUUAUGCAACUAUUUUUCUGAUUAUGAUUGAUUUUUUUGUUCACAAAAAUAAUAGUUUGUCCUCUUUUGUGGCCCAAAUAAUAAAGGAUUGCCAUAUAACUCUAGCUCCUUCUCUGAACUUUGUGUAAUAGUUGUCAAAUUCUUAAAUUCACUAUUAAUGAAGUAAUAAAAUAUCACUACCAAGAAAAGUUUUUUGUAUAACUAAAUAUAUUUUCUUUUUUAGAGUAUGCGAUUGCUCUUUCUGACAUUUAUAUGAAUCUAACUUUUAAUUUUUUGAUUUAUCGGAAUCUGAUAAUAAUAUAAAAUUUUAUUCAAAUUAGCAUUAUCCACACACAUUUUCAUUCAUCUAUACAGCUUUUUUAAUCAUUUGAUUAUAACUUAACCCACCUCGUUUUAUGUGAUAUCUCUGUAGCAAUUUUCUACCAAAAAAUACACAUGCUUGUAUAGUUACUGUAGUUAAAUCUAUUUGCUCACAAAUUUAAGCUAAAGAUUGAGUUUUUAAUAUGCUUUUUUUUGCUUAACUUAUCCUAAAGGCAAUGUUUCAGGAACCAAAAUAAGUGAUAUAUAUAUAAUAUAUUAAUGAUCAAUAUUUUCACCUUCCAAUGUUGAUACAUUUUAGGUUUCUUUUUAAAAGUUCAAGCCCAAUUUCAGUUUGGCCUUUAAUACUGAGUUUAUUUACACGUAGACUAUUUAUUGAAUUAUCUAGUGAAACCAUAAAUAAGUUAUGGUUUCAAAUUAAUUGCAGUCCAAGUUUCCAACCUACAUAUACAUCUUGCAUAUUAUAAAAUUGUAAAAUUUAUGCACCAACUUGCACUACUACAAGAUGCUAGAGUUAUAUUUACACACCUUGCUGAAAUUCAAAUUCGACCAAGUUGUGCAUUAUUUCUCCCAAUUUAACCACAUCCAUACGUUUUCUUGCGAGUGUGUUAUAUUAUAAUAUUUAUCUAAGUUAUUUUUAUAAACAAUAAUUUAUUUAAAAAAAUAUAUUUUGAAUGCCAAAGCUUACACGUAUUAGCCUAUUUUUUUAAAAAAAUAAAUAAGAAAACUUAGACUUUAAAUGCUAAAAUGUUGAAGAAAUAUUUUAGUUUAUGUUGCAUAUAUAUUGUUUAUUCUAAGUGUAGAUAUUGUGUAUUCAUUUUACUUUUGGUAUGUCCAUUUUUUAUGUUAGUAUAUGUUGGGUAUUUUAAGUGGAGACAAAGAAGUCUUAUAUUUGUAAAAAUUGAAAAAAAACCUUAAAUUGUAAGAAGUUAGCAUGAACUAUUUUUUUCUUCAUAACUAUUCCUCUGAUAAAAUGAGUUCAUACACAAAGAUAAUAUCUAAUUAAUAGCAAUAUAAUUUUUUAUCAUACAUUUUAUUUUAAACUGGAACGUUAGAUCACUAUUAUUUUAUUUUUCAUAUAUAUAUCAAUAUUAAUGUGAUAACCACUUUUAACUCUUAAAUUUAAUUCUUAAUUAAUUAUAUAUUUUGAUGAUAUUUCCUCCGCAUACUAAUGCCGACUACCAUACAUAAUUGUAUUGUUAUUAUUGUCAGUUUGAUCGUAGUCAUUUUCUUGUUGGCCUACUAAAAAUUUAACAAUAUAUUUAUACAAAAUCAAUAAAAAUGUGAUAACCCAUAUAAAUAUCUGAAACAGUACAUAACAUCCUAUGUGAUAUUUAUUGAAAAGUUGAGCAAACGAGGAGAAAUGAAUAAAGCAAUGAUGUUAAUAUUAAAUAUAGCAAAGGAUGAAGAACUUAGUAUUCCUUGGUGAUCUUGACAUUGAAAAAGUUUUAAUCAUUAUAUUUGGUAAAGAUUAAGUAACUAAUUGCAACUCACUCAAUUUUGAAUAAUUGAAUUUGUGGUUUGUCAACUACAACUUAACUUUAUUCCAAACUUUAAGCAGAUAACAAUUACAUUCUCCUCCAUCCAUACAUUAAGUUAUAUAUUACUUUUAGAAAAAGAUAUAUGUAUAUAAAUAAUGUAAGAGAUUUUUAUUGUGUCAUGUAUGUUUAAAUUUAAUCAUAAUUAAUUUUUAAAUAUAAAUAAUACAAAUAAAUAAUGAGAGAUAAAUUAAUUAUGUAUAAAUCUUUACAAUAAGAUAAUAUAUAUAUUACACUCAUUACUUAUUAAUCAUAUCAAAAUUUGUGGUCAUAUUCUCUCUCCUCUGUUUGUGUCGCAAUUACUUGGUGUAAUUUGAAUGAAUAGAAAUAAGAAAAAACAGAGUUUUUGAGGACAAAUGAUCUGGAUUCAAAAUGAAUAUAUAUAUAUAUAUAUAUCACAAUUUGUAAUUUAACAGUUGUUGCUAUCUUUUUUCUCUUGUUAUCCCCUUUUACUUCAACCAUUUUUAUAGGAAAUAAUACUUUACACACCUAAGGUAGGGAUUAAAAACUUAAUACAGAUAAUCAAAAGUAUUUUGUAACAUUAAGCAUAUUCUUGAUUAAUUUGUGUUGAAUGAAAAUUCUCAAUUCUUAGCCUUUACUUCCAAACAAGCAUGCAUCUUGCUUAGUACAUAUCUGUUGUUUCAUGUUUUGUAUCACUUCAUGUGUUAUGAGCUUGUAGAUUAGUGAACAAGCAUCAAUAAGAUCUAGGUUUAGUUAUUUUAUUGCUGACAAGAGAGUUAAGUGCAUUCAAAAUUCAUAGAAGUAUGAUAUAAAAUUGAGACAUUCUUAAUAUUCAAGUUGAUUACAUUCCAUUUAGAAUUGCAUUUGUUGUUUAUCGUCUCUCGUGAUGAGAAUGAUAACUUAUCCUUUCUCAUGCUUUCACUUCUAUUUUUUAUUUUUAUUUUUGAGAAUGAUAUCUAAUGCAUUAAAAGAGAGGUACAAUUUUGGGGAGGAUAAGUUAUGCUCUGUGUAAAAGUCAAUUUUAAUGUAAACUUGGGAGCUUCUAGGACAAUAUCGACAAAGGUAUUUAAUCUCUCGACAAACGAACUGUUAAGCUGAAUAAUUGUCUUUGCCUUAUGAGUUGUUAUCCUUCUUUUGUUAAAUGCUGCUAAACUUUCUCUAUGAUUUGUACCUUUGUUCAGAGAUUUUAGUUUUAACACUAGUGCAUCUAUUAUGUAUAAACUGAUGUAUUUUCUUCAGUGAUAUUUUAGUAUAGCCGAUUCUUGUUUAAGCUAAGGUGUUUUUCUUGAUGUUAUUAUAGGUAUGAGCUCGGUCGUCAGCCAGCAAACACCAAGUUAUCAAGCAACAAAACAGUGAGGAGGAUUCGUGUUAGGGGUGGAAAUGUCAAGUGGAGGGCAUUAAGAUUGGACACUGGAAACUUUUCAUGGGGUAGUGAAGCUGUGGCUCGCAAGACCCGUCUUCUUGAUGUUGUUUACAAUGCCUCCAACAAUGAGCUGGUCCGAACUCAGACCCUGGUCAAGGGAGCAAUUGUUCAGGUUGAUGCUGCUCCAUUUAAGCAAUGGUACCUUCAGCACUAUGGUGUUGAAGUUGGUAGGAAAAAGAAAACAGCAUCCAAGAAGGAUACUGCAGAGGUGAUGCCUUUGGAAAACUAUACUUCUUUAUUUUUUUAUAUUACUGAUUUAAUUUAUUUCCUAAGUAAUGAUUACUUCUUUUACUCGCCACAUUUUGUACUUGAAUCGCGUUGGUCUUGUGAUAUGAAAGUGAAAGUAAUCAGUAGGUGUUUUAGUUUUUGUUGUAUACAUUGGAUGUGUUUUCUUGAACACCAUGUUCAUAAAAAUUGUCCAUUUGUUGUUUAUAUAAUUGUAUGUCUUAUUAAAUCCAUUAUCAUAAUAUAUCCUUUUGCAUUCUAAUUUUUUUAAUCUACACUUGAAAAUUAAAAUAGUGGUUGCUUGCUGGCACAAAAAGCACUUUGCUUGGUGGUCCUAUGCUUAUUUUUUUCACUGCCGAUAAUCUAAACAUAUUAACCAUUAAUGUCAUAUAAGUUGUUUCCUUUAUGUGUAAGAGAUAGCUUUCAUUCUCCUAUGUAGUCAGUUCCUCAACUCCGAUAUAUCUAUUGAUAUUUUAAUGUCCAACUAUCAGGAGGGUGAAGCAGCUGCUGCUGAAGAAACCAAGAAAAGUAACCAUGUCCAGAGAAAAAUUGAGAAGCGCCAGACAGAUCGUAACCUUGAUUCCCACAUUGAAGAGCAGUUUGGUGGUGGUCGAUUGCUUGCCGCUAUUUCCUCUCGCCCUGGUCAAUGUGGCAGGGCUGAUGGGUAUGCUGAAACUUUAUAUAUGUGAGAUUACCUGUUUGAGCCAGCAUCAUUUCUGUUUACCGAUCUAUUUUUUCAUGAAUUUUGUAGGUACAUUUUGGAAGGUAAGGAACUGGAGUUUUACCUGAAGAAACUCCAGAAGAAGAAGGGAAAGGGUGCUGCCUAAUUUUAUUGUUUCCCAUAUUUUUACAUGGCUUUAGUUGUUUUUGUUUGAGUUUGUUAAA